rnacentral:rRNA from 1 species
UACGUAGGGGGCAAGCGUUGUCCGGAUUUAUUGGGCGUAAAGAGCGUGUAGGCGGCCAAGCAGGUCCGCUGUGAAAACUCGAGGCUCAACCUCGAGACGUCGGUGGAAACCGUUUGGCUAGAGUCCGGAAGAGGAGAGUGGAAUUCCCGGUGUAGCGGUGAAAUGCGCAGAUAUCGGGAAGAACACCCGUGGCGAAGGCGGCUCUCUGGGACGGUACUGACGCUGAGGCGCGAAAGCCAGGGGAGCAAACGGG